UACGAAGGGUGCAAGCGUUACUCGGAAUCAUUGGGCGUAAAGCGCGUGUAGGCGGCUUGGUAAGUCUGCUCUGAAAGCCCGGGGCUCAACCCCGGGAGGCGGGUGGAUACUGCUGAGCUCGAGUCCGGAAGAGGCGAGUGGAAUUCCUGGUGUAGCGGUGAAAUGCGCAGAUAUCAGGAGGAACACCGGUGGCGAAGGCGGCAUCCUGGACCAACACUGACACUGAGGAGCGAAAGCCAGGGGAGCAAACGGG
rnacentral:rRNA from 1 species